rnacentral:rRNA from 1 species
AUGGUCUGCGUACAACUUGUUCAUUUCUUUGUUGUACUAAUCAGUACUAAUAAUAUCAUCCUUUUAUAUAUGUGGCUGCAGCAAAGUGGCGUACCAAAGUCUGUUGUUGCAGUUGGUUCUUCCUCUGCUCAUCCAUUGCUAGUGGGUAGUGAUGAUCUUCCGAAAACUGCCCCGGCCACCGGCGGACAGAAGCGUAGAAAUUUAUCGCCCACUCAUGCUGACGAGGAAGAGAGGCUCCCCCUCAAACGCAAACUUGAUUUUUCCCUAAAAUAUGAUUUUUCUGAACCAAUAACCUUGGACGGUCCGUCAUUAGAUGUUGAACUCAGUAACCUUGUUAAUGAUGAAGAUUUUGGCCAUGUUCUCACAGGAGAAAAGGACCAUGGCCUUGGUGACCUUUUCGAUUUAUCCGUCGAGGAUUAUACCAUUGGCGAGUGUGGCACAAGUCGUCUACCUUCCAGCCCGGGUGUGACAGAAGAUGUGCCCCAUACCCCUAGUGCUCUUGAUUUCUUGUCAACUUUACCUGGUUGUGACCAAGAAAUUCGCCACUCACUAGACCUUGAGGUGAUGGUUGUAUCAGGGAAAGGCGCACAGAUGGACUACAGUUUCAUCAAGGACACGUUUAUGGAUGCUACGGAUUUCGUAGUGAAACGAGCCCUCGAAGGACUGAAUGACUUUACCCUUGGUGAUCCCGAGCGACGCAUCAUGCUUGAGAGUGUUUCUCAGACGCUGCCCACGCAAGUGCCUGAGGUAGCUAAGGUGCAGGCCAUGUUGGUCGGGCUUAUUGAGCUUUCCAAGAAGUUGGAGGGUGGCCAGACCAAAUUCACGAAGGAAUCCGAGCGAGAUGAACAUGUUGUUGCUGAAGUAGAACUUAAGAUUAAGUCUGGCCAUGAAGUUUCCAAGGACAUAAUUGGGGACUUAUCUGCCGUGGAAAAGAAGUGCACUGAAAUGGAGGCACGGGAAGCAGAACUGAAGGCCCAGCUUGAAGAGGUUACUGCUACUUUGCACAAGCUUAAAUUGAAAAUGGAACAACGCCGGCAAGCACAUGAAGCCUAUCAAUCUGAACAGAAGAAGUUGCUGAAGAGUCUACAGGAUACCAAUGCUGGCAAACGUACAAGGCUUGCUGAAUUUAAACAAAACACAACAGAUUUAAAGACCGAAGCAAGUCAGCUGUUGAACAACCUGUAG